rnacentral:rRNA from 1 species
CCUACGGGAGGCAGCAGUGGGGAAUAUUGCACAAUGGGCGCAAGCCUGAUGCAGCGACGCCGCGUGAGGGAUGACGGCCUUCGGGUUGUAAACCUCUUUCAGUAGGGAAGAAGCGAAAGUGACGGUACCUGCAGAAGAAGCGCCGGCUAACUACGUGCCAGCAGCCGCGGUAAUACGUAGGGCGCAAGCGUUAUCCGGAAUUAUUGGGCGUAAAGAGCUCGUAGGCGGUUUGUCGCGUCUGCCGUGAAAGUCCGGGGCUCAACUCCGGAUCUGCGGUGGGUACGGGCAGACUAGAGUGAUGUAGGGGAGACUGGAAUUCCUGGUGUAGCGGUGAAAUGCGCAGAUAUCAGGAGGAACACCGAUGGCGAAGGCAGGUCUCUGGGCAUUAACUGACGCUGAGGAGCGAAAGCAUGGGGAGCGAACAGGAUUAGAUACCCUGGUAGUCCAUGCCGUAAACGUUGGGCACUAGGUGUGGGGGACAUUCCACGUUUUCCGCGCCGUAGCUAACGCAUUAAGUGCCCGCCUGGGGAGGUACGGCCGCGAGACGUAACUACGAAGAAGUUAGUAGCGUUGAGAGNGCGACGGACGACGACGAGGGAGGAGG